CACAGGUAUCUAUCGAGAUCAAUCUUAAACCUUUCUUUUCUCAAGUAGGAUCUCAACCUUUUGAACCUUUGAUCAACCUUUGAUCUUUGAUCGCAAACUCAACACUUGAAUAGCACUCUUUCUCCUCAUUUUUGAUGUAGAAGCAAUCACCCUCACCUUUGGACAUGUGAGAAGAUGGGACACCCAACACUUGGGCAUUGGAAAGAGAG
rnacentral:lncRNA from 1 species